UGCCUUUAUCAGGGGGAUAACGCAUCGAAAGAUGUGCUAAUACCGCGUAAGACCACAGCCUCACAUGGGGCAGGGGUCAAAGGAGGAAUCCGGAUAAAGAUGGGCUCGCGUCCGAUUAGCUAGUUGGUGAGAUAACAGCCCACCAAGGCGACGAUCGGUAGCCGACCUGAGAGGGUGAUCGGCCACAUUGGAACUGAGAGACGGUCCAGACUCCUACGGGAGGCAGCAGUGGGGAAUAUUGGGCAAUGGGCGAAAGCCUGACCCAGCAACGCCGCGUGAGGGAAGAAGGGUUUCGGCUCGUAAACCUCUGUCCUAUGGGACGAAGGAAGUGACGGUACCAUAGGAGGAAGCCCCGGCUAACUACGUGCCAGCAGCCGCGGUAAUACGUAGGGGGCGAGCGUUGUCCGGAAUGAUUGGGCGUAAAGGGCGCGUAGGCGGCCUACUAAGUCUGAAGUGAAAGUCCUGCUUUCAAGGUGGGAAGUGCUUUGGAUACUGGUGGGCUGGAGUGCAGGAGAGGAAAGCGGAAUUACCGGUGUAGCGGUGAAAUGCGUAGAGAUCGGUAGGAACACCAGUGGCGAAGGCGGCUUUCUGGACUGAAACUGACGCUGAGGCGCGAAAGCGUGGGGAGCAAACAGGAUUAGAUACCCUGGUAGUCCACGCGGUAAACGAUGAAUGCUAGGUGUAGGAGGUAUCGACCCCUUCUGUGCCGCAG
rnacentral:rRNA from 1 species